rnacentral:tRNA from 1 species
GCGAGUAUCGUAUAGCGGUAAUACCCCAGCCUUCCAAGCUGGUGACGUCAGUUCGAUUCUGUCUACUCGCU